rnacentral:lncRNA from 10 species
AUUUGGGCUACAUUUUGGAAACUAAGAACAUAAACAUUUCAGUGUGCGGCAUCAUCAUGCAAGCUCUGUAAGAGGAGAGUAAGAUCAGUACUCCUACUUGUAAAUGAAAGAGAAGAAAACAAAAACAAGCAAAUUCCUUCUAAGGUGUGAGGAACACGAGUAAACAGAGAAAUCACCUAAGGAGAAAACAGGAAGCAGAUUUGAAACUGUGGCCACCAACGACACGAGGGAGCGCAAAACCCAGCCCACUUGCCAGGGAGGCUGGCAGAGCCCACACCCAGUCUGGUGCCCUGGUCGGUUACAUUCUGCUGUAAGUUAUUCCUGCCUUUAGCUCAUUCUAUCACAAAGCCCAAGCUCUCAAUGCCCG